rnacentral:rRNA from 1 species
CCUACGGGCGGCAGCAGUGAGGAAUAUUGGUCAAUGGCCGAGAGUCUGAACCAGCCAAGUCGCGUGAGGGAAGAAUGUCCUAUGGAUUGUAAACUUCUUUUGUCAGGGAGUAAAGUCACCCACGUGUGGGUGUUUGAGAGUACCUUAAGAAUAAGCAUCGGCUAACUCCGUGCCAGCAGCCGCGGUAAUACGGAGGAUGCGAGCGUUAUCCGGAUUUAUUGGGUUUAAGGGGUGCGUAGGCGGGUUAUCAAGUCAGCGGUAAAAUCGUGGGGCUCAACUCCAUCCAGCCGUUGAAACUGAUGGUCUUGAGUGGGCGAGAGGUAGGCGGAAUGCGUGGUGUAGCGGUGAAAUGCAUAGAGAUCACGCAGAACUCCGAUUGCGAAGGCAGCAUACCAGGGCACGACUGACGCUGAAGCACGAAAGCGUGGGUAUCGAACAGGAUUAGAUACCCUGGUAGUC